rnacentral:rRNA from 1 species
GUGGGGAAUAUUGCGCAAUGGGGGAAACCCUGACGCAGCGACGCCGCGUGAGCGAAGAAGGCCUUAGGGUUGUAAAGCUCUGUUUUAAGGGACGAAUGUCGUGGGGAGUAAUAUGCUCUGCGAAUGACGGUACCUUAAGAGGAAGCCCCGGCUAACUACGUGCCAGCAGCCGCGGUAAGACGUAGGGGGCGAGCGUUGUCCGGAAUUACUGGGCGUAAAGAGCACGUAGGCGGGAACUUAAGUCAGGUGUGAAAGACCGGGGCUCAACUCCGGGGUUGCACUUGAAACUGGGUUUCUUGAGGGCAGGAGAGGAAAGCAGAAUUCCUGGUGUAGCGGUGAAAUGCGUAGAAAUCAGGAGGAAUACCAGUGGCGAAGGCGGCUUUCUGGACUGACCCUGACGCUGAGGUGCGAAAGCGUGGGUAGCAAACAGGAUUAGAAACCCCAGUAGCC